rnacentral:ncRNA from 2 species
AUGCGGAUGACAUUCACGUCCGUA